GGAGGGAGCUGCCCGGAGCGCGUAGGGCGCACGGACCGGGCACCCCUGGCCCAGCGGCGGCAGCACAGGCUCCCCCGCCCCCCGUCCCUCCCCCCGCGCCGCAGCUCCCUGCCGGGCCGGGCUGCCGGGGGCUCAGUGCAGCGCCGCCAGCUCCUCAUGCUGCUGCCAGCGGCAGGGACCAGCCUCUCCGCAGCCGGCUCCGUGCGCCCCGGGACGGCACCAUGAACAGCCUCCCCGCCGACAAGGAGAGCGGCCCGGCCGAGCCCAGCCUGCCCGAGGAGGAGGUCCGGACUCUCUUUGUGAGCGGCCUUCCCCUGGACAUCAAACCGCGGGAGCUCUACCUGCUCUUCAGACCCUUCAAGGGUUAUGAAGGCUCUCUUAUAAAACUCACCUCUAAACAGCCUGUAGGGUUUGUCAGCUUUGACAGUCGCUCAGAAGCAGAAGCUGCUAAGAAUGCGCUGAAUGGAAUUCGCUUUGACCCCGAAAUUCCACAAACGCUACGACUAGAAUUCGCCAAGGCAAACACCAAGAUGGCCAAGAGCAAGCUAGUGGGAACCCCGAACCCGAGCACUCCUCUCCCCAGCACUGUACCUCAGUUCAUUACCAGGGAGCAAUAUGAGCUCACAGUGCCUGCACUUUAUCCCAGUAGCCCUGAAGUGUGGGCGCCGUACCCUCUGUACCCAGCGGAGUUAGCACCUGCUCUACCUCCUCCUGCUUUCACCUAUCCCGCUUCACUGCAUGCCCAGGUAUCAGGUGUGUGAUGGUGGCUACAAUCAGUCUUGUGGGUAUUAAUGGAGCCUUUGAAGGUGGCUACUGGUUUCUCAUGCCCUCCUGCAAAACUACAGUGUGCUGGCUUGAAAAACCUCACACAAGUUUUGAUUCCUUCAAGACUUUGCCACAGCCUCUAUCACACAUCUGCUCUCGUAGAAGAAAAAAGCAGACAAAAUAAUGAUGUUUUCCUUUUUUACACUGUAUUAUUGUAAGGAAGAGUGUUACUCGUGAAAGCACAGUCGGACAGUCAUUGCUGUAUAGUUUGAAAAGUAUUUUCAAACAAAAAAGCCAACUAUCAAAGCCAAAAGAGAGCAAGUAUUUUUAUACCAAACAUUGUGCGUAUAAUGAUCUUACACCGGGUUAGAUCACAAGUUUUGUGCUUGACUUUUGAAUGCGUGCAAUUAAGAGUCUCUCUUUUUUUUUCUUUUUGUAAGCUGCAUGCAUUCAAGACAUGUUUUUAAAUCUUGUUCAGAAUUAAAUAAUUGUAUUGUUAGGUUUAUAGGCAUUGUGCUUAGGCUGGGCGGAGUUAAAAUGUGCUGAACUACAGAUCUGGGUAUAUUUACAGUAUUAGGGUUUUAUUCCCCAGUGUACCAUAUCCUAUCAGGCAGGACAAUCAGAAAACAACUUAGUAUAAUUUUUCUACCUUAGGGCUACAGUUACAUUUUGCAGGGUGAGGCUUUAGGCUAGCAGAGAGCUGUGCAGCGAAAAGCCAUGCAUGGAGCAAGUGGAGACUUAUUAAUGAGGGCUCUCCUUGUGCUUACUUCAGGGACAGUUACAUUUGCUGGGUCACAUGGUAUCUUUCCAGGGGCAGGAAGGGCUGGUUCCGGUAAUGGCUUGAAAUUUUUAUUGGCAAUGUAAACUGCUGUGAUGAGAAAAAGUUGACCCCAAUUCAGCAACACACUCAAGACCAUGCUUAAGUCUAGUUGAAGUUAAUGGGACUUAAACACAUGCUUACAGCUACACUUAAGUGCUUUGUUGAAUUAGGGCCUUAAUGAACAGUUUAUGCCAGUCCAGCUCCUUGUUAUGCAAUAUACUGGUAUUUUCAAUGCAAAAGUGAAGCCAAAAAGGGAGGCGUUGACAUUUUCUGCUAAACCCUGUUCUUUACUCCAGUCAUUGUCUUGAAGCAAUAUUGGUAAUGUCUACUGAGAAUACGGUACCAGCGACAAGAAGCUCAUUUUACCAGUACAUUCCUUUUCCCCAUUGCUUUUCACUCUGCAUAGGAAUAGAAUAUAAAAAUGAGUCUGUUUUCUUGUAAAAGGAUUGACAACUCCUUACCCCUAAAGGCAACUCUCUCUCCACCCACUCACCCGUAAGCAAUGCUGUUCCGCAGCCUGCACUGAUUGGUUCAAGAAGGACCUGAUUGUUGGCAAGUGUGGUGAACGUGUGCUCACAGGUUUCCCCGUAGUUUUGUUCACCUUGUGCUGAACACGUAGUGAUGUCAGUGUUUUUAGGACGACAACACAAUUGUUCUUUGUGGAAAUGCAGAUGUUGAGAAUUCUUCAGUCCCAAGACCACGAUAGCUGAAAGCAUAAGACAGAAAAACAGAAAUUCUACUUUUGAUUAAACAAAGCGACAAGGAUAACUUGAGAACAGAUUAAAUUCUAAGACAAAUGUUUAAAUAAAUCUAAACAGACGUGUAUAAGUAUUCUAACCAAUAGACUAGUUCUUUACAAAGCUGAUUUUCUGUAUUUGUUUUGGGUAAUGGAGGAAAGAAACAUCCACGUUGUCUACUCUGCUUUUUUGAAAUAUGUUUAAAGGUACUUUUCUAUUGUAAUUUUUAAAAAAUAAAACAAUGAUUAUUAUAACUUA